ensembl:snRNA U2 U2 spliceosomal RNA
AUUGCCUCUUGGGCUUUUGGCCAAGAUCAGGUGUAGUAUUUGUUCUUACCAAUUUGCUCUCUGAUAUAUUUAUCUCUUCAAGAACAAUAUAUGUACUUUUUGAAGUAGAUAGAAUAGGAACAUGCUAUACAUUCUUUACAUGUAUAGACCUGGUAUUGCAAGAAUAGUGCACUGUGUUGGGGGA